GGGUUGUGAGGUUAAGCGACUAAGCGUACACGGUGGAUGCCCUGGCAGUCAGAGGCGAUGAAGGACGUGCUAAUCUGCGAUAAGCGUCGGUAAGGUGAUAUGAACCGUUAUAACCGGCGAUUUCCGAAUGGGGAAACCCAGUGUGUUUCGACACACUAUCAUUAACUGAAUCCAUAGGUUAAUGAGGCGAACCGGGGGAACUGAAACAUCUAAGUACCCUGAGGAAAAGAAAUCAACCGAGAUUCCCCCAGUAGCGGCGAGCGAACGGGGAGCAGCCCAGAGCCUGAAUCAGUAUGUGUGUUAGUGGAAGCGUCUGGAAAGGCGCGCGAUACAGGGUGACAGCCCCGUACACAAAAAUGCACAUGCUGUGAGCUCGAUGAGUAGGGCGGGACACGUGGUAUCCUGUCUGAAUAUGGGGGGACCAUCCUCCAAGGCUAAAUACUCCUGACUGACCGAUAGUGAACCAGUACCGUGAGGGAAAGGCGAAAAGAACCCCGGCGAGGGGAGUGAAAAAGAACCUGAAACCGUGUACGUACAAGCAGUGGGAGCACAGAGCAAUCUGUGUGACUGCGUACCUUUUGUAUAAUGGGUCAGCGACUUAUAUUCUGUAGCAAGGUUAACCGAAUAGGGGAGCCGAAGGGAAACCGAGUCUUAACUGGGCGUUAAGUUGCAGGGUAUAGACCCGAAACCCGGUGAUCUAGCCAUGGGCAGGUUGAAGGUUGGGUAACACUAACUGGAGGACCGAACCGACUAAUGUUGAAAAAUUAGCGGAUGACUUGUGGCUGGGGGUGAAAGGCCAAUCAAACCGGGAGAUAGCUGGUUCUCCCCGAAAGCUAUUUAGGUAGCGCCUCGUGAAUUCAUCUCCGGGGGUAGAGCACUGUUUCGGCAAGGGGGUCAUCCCGACUUACCAACCCGAUGCAAACUGCGAAUACCGGAGAAUGUUAUCACGGGAGACACACGGCGGGUGCUAACGUCCGUCGUGAAGAGGGAAACAACCCAGACCGCCAGCUAAGGUCCCAAAGUCAUGGUUAAGUGGGAAACGAUGUGGGAAGGCCCAGACAGCCAGGAUGUUGGCUUAGAAGCAGCCAUCAUUUAAAGAAAGCGUAAUAGCUCACUGGUCGAGUCGGCCUGCGCGGAAGAUGUAACGGGGCUAAACCAUGCACCGAAGCUGCGGCAGCGACGCUGAUGCGUUGUUGGGUAGGGGAGCGUUCUGUAAGCCUGCGAAGGUGUGCUGUGAGGCAUGCUGGAGGUAUCAGAAGUGCGAAUGCUGACAUAAGUAACGAUAAAGCGGGUGAAAAGCCCGCUCGCCGGAAGACCAAGGGUUCCUGUCCAACGUUAAUCGGGGCAGGGUGAGUCGACCCCUAAGGCGAGGCCGAAAGGCGUAGUCGAUGGGAAAC
rnacentral:rRNA from 1 species